ensembl:lncRNA
AUAUAUAUAUGUAUGUAUGUAUGUAAAACUGAAUCUAUUGAUGUUUUUUCUUUUCCAAAGAGAGCUGACUCUUCAUCUGAAGAGAGAUAUUUUGGUUGGCGUCGUCCCUAUCCGCCAUAUUUUAGAAGAUUUGCUCUGAGGUCUCCAUCUCCUAGAAAUUUUGGAUAUCCUUCAACGGGUCGAUAUCCUGGAUUUCCUGGACAUCCUCCAAAUCCAUAUGAUCACAAUCUUGAAAAUCUCCCAUAUUAUGCAGAUGCUGAAGAUGCUGCUAAUGCAGCCCCAGAAGCACCUCAAUAAACACAGGUAAAGAUAAGCUGUGCUUACUGAAAUCAUGGCGGAUGGUGGGGUGAAAAGAAUACCGGAUUUCGCCGUUAAAACCUCUGGUUGAACUUCCAAUUUCCCCCUCAAUAGCUGAAUGACCUGGACCAUCCAGAAUCUGAAUGCCUCUUUUCCUGCAGAAGAUUUUGCUGAGACCAUUCUCCAUUGGGUUACCAAAGGAUACGCCUAAAGCUUAGCUGUGACCAUGGUGCUUAUUCAAUUCCCUGCCCCCUCCCAAUAAAUUCUAGUGGUUCUACUAUGUCCA